GCAGGUACCGCAUGAAUAAGGACCGGCUAAUUCCGUGCCAGCAGCCGCGGUAAUACGGAAGGUCCAGGCGUUAUCCGGAUUUAUUGGGUUUAAAGGGAGCGUAGGCUGUUGGUUAAGCGUGUUGUGAAAUGUAGAUGCUCAACAUCUGAAUUGCAGCGCGAACUGUCCGACUUGAGUGCGCGGAAAGCAGGCGGAAUUCGUUGUGUAGCGGUGAAAUGCUUAGAUAUGACGAAGAACUCCGAUUGCGAAGGCAGCUUGCGGGAGCACAACUGACGCUGAAGCUCGAAAGUGCGGGUAUCGAACAGGAUUAGAUACCCUGGUAGUCCGCACGGUAAACGAUGGAUGCUCGCUGUGUGCUUAUUUUUAGUAUGCGGCUAAGGGAAACCAUUAAGCAUCCCACCUGGGGAGUACGCCGGCAACGGUGAAACUCAAAGGAAUUGACGGGGGCCCGCACAAGCGGAGGAACAUGUGGUUUAAUUCGAUGAUACGCGAGGAACCUUACCCGGGCUUGAAUUGCAGAGGAAGGAUUUAGAGAUAAUGACGCCCUUCGGGGUCUCUGUGAAGGUGCUGCAUGGUUGUCGUCAGCUCGUGCCGUGAGGUGUCGGCUUAAGUGCCAUAACGAGCGCAACCCCUUUCUUCAGUUGCCAUCAGGUGAUGCUGGGCACUCUGGAGAUACUGCCACCGCAAGGUGUGAGGAAGGUGGGGAUGACGUCAAAUCAGCACGGCCCUUACGUCCGGGGCUACACACGUGUUACAAUGGCGUGUACAGCGAGUCGGUACCGGGCAACUGGUAUCCAAUCAAUAAAACACGUCUCAGUUCGGACUGGGGUCUGCAACCCGACCCCACGAAGCUGGAUUCGCUAGUAAUCGCGCAUCAGCCAUGGCGCGGUGAAUACGUUCCCGGGCCUUGUACACACCGCCCGUCAAGCCAUGAAAGCCGGGGGUGCCUGAAGUCCGUUACCGCGAGGGUCGGCCUAGGGCAAAACCGGUGAUUGGGGCUAAGUCGUAACAAGGUAGCCGUACCGGAAGGUGCGGCUG
rnacentral:rRNA from 1 species